UCCGAGUCAUCCUCACGGACUUUUUCUCUCUUUUUUUCUUUUUCUCUUUUUCCCUUUUACUUUUUCUCUUCAUUCGCCGACUCAUACCGCGCGUACAAUAAUACCAAGCAUGUCUAAUUGCAACGUUGAAAGUUAUGCGUUUUCACCGUUGCGAACAGUCUGCGGGAAUUCACAACAACGACAUCAACGUUGUCACAACGAAGUUAAUUCCGGAUGUUAAAGGCUUACUAUUUUACCUCCCUCUUUUUUCUCCUCUUUACCUCCGUCUCUCCCUUUUUUUUUUCUUCCUUCUUCUUCUUCUUAUCCUCCUCUCUCUUUCUCUUUUCGCUCCCCCGCCGCAACGCCACGGCCAAUUUAAACCAUCUAUCAAUUACGCGAGAAAAUAGUGUCUCGUCGUACGGCCGGCUUGAGACAAUAUACACCGGUCCAGAGAUAAUAAAAACGCAUUAGAUGCGCCGUGCAAUUAGGAGAAACGAACGACAGUCCGACUAUCUAAUUGAAAUUUGUGAAAACAAACAAAAACCAAGGCACACGCUACACCUAUCUAAUUUUAACGUAAUUCGAUCGAGUCGCUGUUCGCCCCUGCCACGGACGACUCGUUUAAUUUCAAUGACUCUCGAUUCGAUCCCUGUUUUUUUUUUUUUUUUCUAAUCAUUCGUCGAAUCGAAAAAACGAUCAAACCUCGCGAAUUUUAUUUACACUAGGUGAACGUGUAUGAGUAAAAAAAAAAAAUAAGAAUCGAAACCAAAAAGGAGGUGGUAGAGCGGACGGUGAGAGUAUCCUAAAAAUCUUCUAAACGUACGCAAUUAGCUGGGGCGAGCUAAGAACGAGAUUCGGAAAAGAAUGAGAAGGAGGAUAAAAUGAAGAAAAGUCUAGAAAGAAGAAAAACACGGUGCGCCUGUUUCCUUGCGGUGCGUGUCACCCGGCGUCGUCCUUCCCUCCCCCGUAACGUUCCGAGUUUCUCAUUCCGGCGGCUUAUUAUCUUGGUAGAAAUGUUUAGUCUGAGCUGAUUAAGAAAACUGGGCGCGCUCUUCUUAUUCGGCUUCGUAGCGCAAGCUGCUUCGACUUGAGCUUUUGCUUUUGCCGGUGCAGCGGCAGACCGCAGACCGUUCCCCUGUCACGCCUGACUCUUCGCGGCGUUUCGAACCAACACGUGUUUUCAAUUUGUCGUUCCAAAUAUAUUGGACGCUUUUUACAGCAAAAAAGAAAAAAAUAUUCAGAAUAACGGAAAAUUCACUUACAACCAUAUCGCGAAAUGUGAGUUUCACAAAACUCCAGUCGCCGAGCCGUGGAUUGAACGGUGUCGAUUUUUCAAACGCCCAUCGAUUUCGUUAAUCGAACUCGCUGGAUUUUCGCGAAAAAUCUGAAGAAUCUCCGCUCAUUCUUCUAAAGAUAUUUCAAGUGAUCCUUCGAUUCGAUUUACCGGGGGAGAUGUGGGAACUCUUUCAGGCUAUUAUUGGAAACGUGGAGCAGAGAGCGGCAUUACGCGAGAUAUCCUUAAAAAAAAAAAAAACAAAAAAAAAAAGGAGGAGGAGCAGCAAAAUGAGAAAAAAGUAAAAAUUCUCUGAUAUUUGUAGAAGGCUUGGUAGGUUGUCGGGGGCUAGCCGGCACGGUAGCUUGUAAUAGGGGAGAUUAACUCCGAAGAAGAAAGCGCGGGAGAGAAGGAGAGACUCGGUGGGGAGGUCGCCGGGGCUCCCGAGGGUUCCGGGGGAAGGAGACGAGGAGGAGAAAUAUCGGUGGCUAGGCACGAAGCCCGAUGCUGCCGAUGGUACUUGAGAAAUGAAAGAAUGCAGAGGCAAAGAAGCGAAGAGCACCACUCGAGGCGAGCACCGCCGACCGCCCGACAAUCGAAACGAGGGGUAUUACCAGUCACAUCCCCGCAACCGCUUGAUUGGCCCUGCGGAAGCACCUUAACCCCGUAAAUGCACCGGACGGAUUCGGUGUAUGAUUUUCAAGUGCAUCGCUUUCAACCCCCCCCCCCCCAUUGACGGUGAAUGGACGAUAUUGUGCCGCGACGCAACGCAAACGGGAGCACAAUGGUUAUAGCAAAUAAUCUUCUAUUCCACAAAUCCGAAACAUCCCUCCGAGUGUAUCGCCGGCGGUGGCACCGCGCCGCUCGUACCCCGUCAUUUGGUAGGUUUAACAUUGGCUUUGGCGGGCCCCGUUUUUGCGGUUGUGUGGUUGGGGUUGCAGAGCUCGAGUUUGGGAUCGGGAUCGGGAUCGGGAAGGUCAGGUCAUCGUACGCACCGGCAUCGACUUUUCCCGCUGCACUGCGGAUGAAAGCAAAAAAAAAACAACAACAACAACACCGAUACACCGACACACCCUUCGCCGGAAGGUAUGGAAGUCGGGGCUGAAGAAAGAAAGAAAGAAAAUGAAAAAGGAAGAAUGAAAAAAAAAAAGCGUCGAUGUCGGAUCAAUGGGCAUUGUGAUCGGUACCGAUGAAGGAUGGAGGAUAUAAACCAUAAAGGACCUGGAACAAGCUAUAAAAAUAGCUCCGCAGCUACGGAGAGGGAAAAGUGAAAACAGGAAAUCGGUUCGAUUUCACGGACGUUAAGGAUUCUAUGGCGCCGUUCGUUCGGCCGAGUCGAUUCAACCCCUCGUAGCCGCUGCCGCGCUCGCUCCGGUCACGAUUCGAGAUAAUUAAUCAUCGAGCGGCCGAGUGACCGGUUGACCGAGGGACCGCGUCACCCUCUGGACCGACCGACCCUCCGAGGUAAAAAUGACCAUGUGACGUGUACAUUUAUUUGUGUAAAGUAGGUAUAUUACGAGGAUCAAGCGGGGGAUGCUCCGGAGAUACUUCGGCGACACCUGCGCUACCCCUGCGGACGACCACCUCGGUUUUUCAGGGGGUGAGUAUCCCGUUCGAACUAUUCGGGUUUCGGGUUUCCAUCGAUUGAGGGUGAUCGAAUCGAGUGAUUUUUUUUCCCCGACGCUUUCGGACGCACGGAAAAAUUGUCUCGUCUUCGUUCACCUGUGUCGGGGGGUAAGAGAGAUUUACAAUUUUGUACGAGGAUACGCCGGUACCUCGAGCAGUAAUAUUUUUCGGGUAAACAAGAAAAGUAGGAAAGCGCGACGGGGAACACUAUACGUCGGGUUAAAUGUCUGCUGCCCUUUCCUUUCCCUUCCUCUCCUUUAUUAGCUUGUUUUUCCCCGAGGCUGGGGGUCCUCGGGUCCAAAACUGAGGCUACCGCACCACGGCGUCUAAUGUCUGGUACCCACAAAAAAAGGGCGCCUCCUGCUGCGCCGCGCCGCGUUCAGGAAGGGCAAGAGAACACCUCGAACACUCGAAAAUAGACGGAAGACGUUGCGGGCGUUUGGCUACGUCGCCGUAACUCCAUCGUCGUCGUCGUAGUCGUCGUCGUCGUCGUCUACGAAACGCCACACCGAAGCGAACCGUACGGCAAACCUAUUCACGUAGCAAGAGAUUCGGCUCCGUUUAUAUACCCCAUCAAAAAUAUCGUUCGCUAAAUUUUUUUAUUUCCCAUUUUGUUUCAUUUUUCAUUCGGGUUUCCGAUCUUUUUCUUUUUCUUCUUCUCUCGCUUCUGUCUCUUUAUCCGGCUCUCUUUCUGUUCACUUUUCCUUUUCUCGGCCGCCACAUCUCCUCGGCAGACCGAGCAAGGUGGGACUCCCACUUCAACGUUGUCAUUUACAUAUUCGUAGACGUUGUAUCUCUCUGGUUAUAUCUCCGCUUUGAGAUCCUCGGAACAGAUAUAGGAAGGUUUGGUGUUAAUUCCGUUCUUCCUUCGCUUCUUUUUAUUCCUCUAUUACUUCUUCUUCUUCCUCCUCCUCCUCCUCUUCUUCUCGUUCUUCUUCCUCUAGUUUUAUCCGGCGGCAAUCGUUGCCCCUCUGCAAUCGUUUCGAUUUUAAUUGGCUAGCGGUUAUAAAAAAAAAACGUCUCGAAGAAAAGGAAAAAAAUUAAGUAAAAGGCGUUGGCAGUUAAAAACUUGACAUUGACACGUUAAAUUCAAAGCUCAAACUCGACGUCGUACACCUGAGCAUACAUUAUUGAUAAACGUCGAUUUUCGAUCGUCAAUAUAAAAUCGUGUGAAUGACGAAUCUCCGUAGACAACUGUAAAACCACACCUCGAUCCGCUUCUAUCUAUAAAUUUUAUCGAUAAAUAAUCACGGAGGUCUUCGCAAGUGAAUUCGUUCGCGGAAUUAUCUAAUAUUACACUUACCCGUUCGUAUUUAAUUACGACCAGAUGGUUUCGGGUGAUUAUAUUUUCAAAGAACUGUUCUCAACUCCUCCUCGUUACUUUCGUAUUCAAGUUAUAAGAAAAUAAUUCUCACAUGCGUAAAAAGAAAAAAUUUACUACGGCAUACAUUCGACUCGCGUAUCUCUUCCAGUAAUCUUUUAAUUCAAUCUUUGACCACCGUAUUAUUAAUGCCGGGGGGCCCCCUCCCCCCUCCCCCCCUCCGUGUGAGCCUCAGAUAUAAUAAUUCUUCCCGGUAUAAACGAACGCACUUCUACCUUUUUUUCGGCUCUUCGAUAAUUCUAAUUGUAUUUUGCAGUAUUUUACCAUCCGCACCACGCCCAGUUUCAUGUGAAUGUGGUCGGAUAAACUCCGGAAAAAAAAAAAAAAUAGAGAACGAUCGAAAAACGUAUAGAACUACAACAGCCGCAGCUACCCCUUUGCGCACUGCGGGGUACGAAAAAUUGGAAAGCUUUCCAAGUGCUCGGAUAUACCCCGCCGCUCUCUCUCUCUCUGUGUGCGAUUCUGCUGCAGCGGCGGCAGCGGCAGGUCGAAUAUUAUACGCGCGAAUAUGGGUACGUACGCGCGUUGCAUAUACAUAUACCAGGGACGGCUGCGACCACCGUUAAAGGGAAACGGGGGAGGGGGAGAUUUUGAGGUUUCGAUUUGGGGUCUAUUUUGGGUUGUAUGUUGGGCUCAACUAAUAGCCCGACACGCCCCAACCGCAGAGCUUUCAUCGAUCGAUUCCUCAGGUGAUUGAUGACGCGCAAUUAUUGCGCUCAAGAUCCACUAGCUGUGCGUAACGUAUGUGAUUAUAACUGUAACACGAAAUGUUGUACGGAGAAUGAGAGAAUGCCGGAGGUGAAAACGAGAUACACCGUACGCGAAGACUCGAACUAGAGAGGCGAAUAGAAAAAAGAAAAAAAAAACAUCACACAGUCGCGUAACUCGUGUUACGGAUACGGUUUGUCGGUGUUUUAUUUCGAUGCAACGGUCAAGCGAAAGGGAUGAGGAAUGAAUGGGGACAAAGAGAGAAAAAAAAAUUCCAAGAUUAGAGAAAGAACGAAAACUCGGCCCUUUAUUUUGGGGUGGGCCGUGUAACCAGAGCCGCAGAAUCUUUGGGAGGUAAAGUAAUCCGGCACGUGCUACUAACUGAGAAUUUGAUCCGGCAAUUCCAGGAAACGAAAUUUCGUAGAGACCCACAACCUUGUACCAAAUUUCGUUUGGAUCCUGUGGCGCGAGAAAAAAAAAAAAAGAAAAAAAAAAAGCAUAAUUAGAAAAUUAAAUAAAAGAGUUCAAAAGUGGGAGGGAAAAGGAACGUGUAGCGGGAAAGAAAAAUUUACGAGCGAAUAAAUGGUCGUGUUGUACGCGUGGUUCCUAAUGCCUCUCGCUUCGGGUCAUUGAAUUCCGUAACGUUGGAUGAUCCUUGACUUGAAAUUGAGGGAAAAAAAAAAAAAAGAGAAGCCGAUUCAAACGAAAUCAAUUUCCUUAAAUUCUCUGUUUUUUUUUUUGUUCAUUUUUUAACGUCGAAGACACCGGGACCGUGCGGUUAUGCAUGUAAACGUAAAGGAAAGCACGUCGGGUUGGUCCAUUUAGUCGAUUGGUUACGGUUCGUCAAAUAGAGGCGCCGCCGAUGCACCGGUCCUUGAAAGCCCUUCGCGUUUUAACUUACAAGAGUGAAAAGUGAGUUGGAAAAAAACCGUUUCAGACUUCAUCAGCGACGCCUUAUAAGUGCAACAAAAUACACUUGCCCGGAGACAGGUAGAACAAACCGAGAUAAUAACUGGUUACGCGUUUCACGAGACGUUGAGUGAGUUAAUUUUUUUUUCUUUUCUUUUCGUUUUUUUUUUUUCUUUCUUUCCUUCUCCCGCAUUUCUUUCCUCGUUUUUUCAAACUUCAGCCGUAAAUGUGACUCGGUAUAAAUAUUAAUACACCAACUGUUUUCUUUCAACCCCUUUGUCAACCACUGACAAGACUAAUUGCGCCCACCCGAGAAAAUAUCAAAGGAACGAACAUAUGGCACCGGUAAUUGAAAGAGCCACCCGUGAAGGUGGAACAGAAGAAUGUAACUAAUAAUAAAAAAUCAAACAAUACCGAGCGAAGAAAAUAAGUUCACGGGCACGUGAGUUCUUCCUUCCCUCGUCUUCUGCACUUUCCUUAAAUUAGUAAUCUUGCUACCGGGUCGCGCAAAAAAAAAAAAAUAAAAAUAAAAAAGGGGGGGGAACAUUUUCGACGAGGAUGACGGAAGGUGAGUACCGCCGAUACGUCCGCGUGGUACGGAUACGUGUAUUCGUAUACGUUGAUAAAUUAGUCAACUCAGCUUUUUUAUUUUAUUUUUUUUUUCAUCUACUUUUUCGUUUUUCCACCGAGCAGCUACCGGCUGUUUGUGGCACCUCUGAAACUUUGCACGAUAUCAAAACCCCGCCCUCGCCGGCCACCCCCACCCUCGAUAUCAUCCCAUACCUAUUUCGUACUUCGUUAAGUAUCUGUCAACCAAUUUGCAUAUAAAAAUGCUUAUUUUCACGUUAUUUAGAAGCACACGGACUUCUUCGUGGAGGAUAUCGAACUUUUGCGGGGUGCCGAGAUUAAUUUUUUUUUAUUUCGAUUUAACAAUUUUUUUUUUCUCCCACUUCCUUUCCAAUUCUUCGUCGUUAACUGCGUUUUUGCAAACCUCUGAAAUUUCACUUUCCCUCGAUCCCGCGCGAUCGAAUAAUGGGAGGCAGGGGGGGAAAAAUCAUCGGAUCCUAGGUGCCUCCGGAAACUCGUCGCAAGGGAUUUUUUUUCCACCCAAGGUUUUCUCGUUUUAAUUUCUCUUCAUUUUUCGAGCGAGUAUCAUCGUACGGAAUGUAAAUGCACGAAGGUUUAUUUCUUACCUGCGCGGUGCGCGCGUAUCGUGCAGAUAUGAAUUAAGUGUUGCACGUUUCGCGCGUACAAGUUUCCUCUCGGGGGAAAAUCGUUUUAUAAUAGCACACCUCGGGUAUAUGGCGUAAGAUGUACCCUAAAAUCCUGAACGAGUUUUGCAUAACCAGUUUAACCGCGAAAUUACUUAGAAACUUGCAAUUUAUUAAACGUAGCCAGGAUGUAUACUUUUAUUUUAUUCAUUUUCUCCGUUCUCUUUUCGUUUCUUCCUUCGAUUCAUCUCAUUAUUGGCUUUUCUUCGCUUCCUUUUCUCGUUUCGUCGUUUUUUUUUUCCAACACACUUUUGUAUCUUUUGUGUCGGUGAUGAAAAAAAAAAUAAUAAAAUAAAACCAAUAAAAUUGACGCGGCGUCAGUUUGACCCAGUUUUUUCGAUGUAUGUUUCAACUGCAGCGUAUAUUUUGCGAAAGAAAUGUUAUCCGACUUUUACCUCUCAAAGCCCACGGCGCUGUUCGUUAACAAUACCCGCUGCUUCCUGAAUUAUUUAAUUUUUUUUUUUUCUUGUUGUUUCCAUGUGCACAAAAAUGACGGACAACCCAUUUACAGCUACGUGAUCACCCUGCGCACGAUGCAGUCUCCAGUGAUUUGAGAUGAAUCGAAAAGUUUUACUCAAAAUGUGUACAACGUUUAUACGGAUGCGAAGACCGCUGAUUCGGGCGCUCCUCGUUCAUUAUAUUUUCCUUUAUUUUUUUUUUUCAUUUUGCUUCUUUUUUUUUUUUUUGUCGGUGUGAGAAAGUUUGAGAACGCGGUCCAGAUGACGGCCGAUAUAAACUGCGGGCUCGCGUGACCAACGGUGUUUCUUCAUUUGACUUUUGAGGAUCCGAAGGAGUCCAACUCUACACCGACAUCGUAUCGGGCCUGAUCAGGAAUUAAAUAAUACAGGUAUUCGUACGUGCAGUAUUUCAUCUAAAGGUGGACUAUUUCAUUUUAUUUUCAACCCCAUCCGACGAAAGUGUAAGAAUCGAACGUGCCACCCCCUCGAGUCCGGAGGUCGUCGAACUCUGAGGACGAAUCGACUGACAAGUGCGGUAUCUCAGGUAUAUUUAUUUGGUUUUUUAUUGUCCGCACUGUUUGCGAAAGACUGGUGAAUAUCUGUAAAGAAUUCGACGGCGUUUGAUCCGAAGUUGGUUCGGUUAUCAAAAUUCUGAAGACGCGGGACGAUCGUGUAGGAGGCAGGUGUACGACGUGUAAGGCAAGGAAAGCAGCGGUGGUAGCAGAAGCAGCAGCAGCAGCAGCAGGAGCAGCCGAUCGGGGGACGUCGGCGGAAGAUGUGUUUCGAUCUGCAUUGUAAUCAAGUGAUAUAAUACGGGCCGUGGCCCUACUCGAACGAACCGUGGGAAACUAAAAAGAACUGGGCCAGCUGCUGCCCCGCGUUUAUUCCUUCUUCGGUUCGGCGUAGCGUUAGUUGUAAAGCAAUAUACGAGCGGCGUUGUAUCGGUGGUAGUCGAUAUAUUUUACAUUUUACAUUUUACAUUUUACAUUUUACAUUUUACACACCGAUGACGUGUUUCGUCCUCCCUCGUUUAUUCCGCUCUCGUCAUUCGAACGCUGCGUCCGCACCGGACAACCAAAACUCCGGAAUUCUAUCUGAUCUCGUAAAACUCUGCGACGAAAUGCGGUCGAGUCGAGGUCCUCCGUUAAACGGAUGUCGGCCGAACCCGGGGCGCGGGGGGAGGAGAAAAGGAACGAAUUCUAAACACGGGGUAAAAGAUGAUAACGAAGAAGAUUUCCCCCCGUUUUCAGUAUUUUAAGAAACGUUCACCCCUUCGUAAAAUUCCCUCCCAUACGCGUACGUACCGCGCACAUAAUGUGAAACGGAAAUACGAGAAGGAGAAGAAAAAAACCGCGAUGGAAUAUCGUAUAAAUACGAGUUGAAUUUUUCUGGUGCUGAAAAUCUGGAGGGUACUCGGAUCGCAUUAUCCUUUAAGAGUCUAUACGAAAUCCUUGACGUAUAUUAUCCUCGAAAAAAGGAUAUACCUACGUAUACACGCGGCUUGUGAGUUAGAAAGCGGAAGAUGCCUGGAACGACGCGGUAUUUCCGAAUGCGCGUGGUACAGAGUUUGAUAUUAGAACCCUCUCUGGCUCGUUGUUAUAUAAAAUUCUGGAAAACGUAGCA